GAUGAACGCUGGCGGCGUGCCUAAUACAUGCAAGUCGAGCGAACGGACGAGAAGCUUGCUUUUCUGAUGUUAGCGGCGGACGGGUGAGUAACACGUGGAUAACCUACCUAUAAGACUGGGAUAACUUUGGGAAACCGGAGCUAAUACCGGAUAAUAUUUUGAACCGCAUGGUUCAAAAGUGAAAGACGGUCUUGCUGUCACUUAUAGAUGGAUCCGCGUUGCAUUAGCUAGUUGGUAAGGUAACGGCUUACCAAGGCAACGAUGCAUAGCCGACCUGAGAGGGUGAUCGGCCACACUGGAACUGAGACACGGUCCAGACUCCUACGGGAGGCAGCAGUAGGGAAUCUUCCGCAAUGGGCGAAAGCCUGACGGAGCAACGCCGCGUGAGUGAUGAAGGUCUUCGGAUCGUAAAACUCUGUUAUUAGGGAAGAACAUAUGUGUAAGUAACUGUGCACAUCUUGACGGUACCUAAUCAGAAAGCCACGGCUAACUACGUG
rnacentral:rRNA from 1 species